GAUGAACGCUGGCGGUGUGCCUUAAGCAUGCAAGUUGAACGGUCCGAUUUAUCGGACAGUGGCAGACGGGUGAGUAACACGUAGGAAUCUACCUCAAUGUGGGGGAUAGCUCGCCGAAAGGCGGGGUAAUACCGCAUGUGAUCGCGAGAUCAAAGACGCAAGUCGCAUUGAGAGGAGCCUGCGCAUUAUCAGGUAGUUGGUGGGGUAAUGGCCUACCAAGCCUACGACGAUUAGCCGAUGUGAGAGCAUGAUCGGCCACAAGGUAACUGAGACACGGUGCCUACACCUACGGGUGGCUG
rnacentral:rRNA from 1 species